CGGGAGUGGCAGACGGGAGAGUAACACGUGGGAACGUGCCCUUCAGUUCGGAACAACCCAGGGAAACUUGGGCUAAUACCGGAUACGUCCGUAAGGAGAAAGAUUUAUCGCUGAAGGAUCGGCCCGCGUCUGAUUAGCUAGUUGGUGAGGUAAUGGCUCACCAAGGCGACGAUCAGUAGCUGGUCUGAGAGGAUGAUCAGCCUCAUUGGGACUGAGACACGGCCCAA
rnacentral:rRNA from 1 species